AGGGGAUCGAGCUGUGGCAGCGCGGAGGCGACUGCGGCUGGUUCGCUUCCGCCGGCUUGCCGGUUGAAUCGGCAGCACGUUGCAACGGAAGCAGAGAAGUAGCCCGGUCAUCCUCCUCUCAACGUCUCUGUGGCCUUCUCGCCUUGAUCCAAUUUCUUCGGAGUCAUGGCGGCGAGCUAUCUCCUACAGGUUAUAAGUAAGCCUUCUCCACCUCUUCUCAGGAAAUAGACGAGAAUACACUUUCUCUUUGAGUCCACAUCCACAGUCCUUGGAGCAGAACGCCGGUGCACACCGGCGAGGUGCUCACCGCUCUUGGAGUGCUGAGCUGCACCUCCCCAAGCCUCAAUCCGCCGUUCGUCUUGCCGCGAUCGCCGGAGAGGUGUCGUAUCUCCGAGGGAAGACGCGAAGUAGCCCGAGGCAUAGUCGGGGCAUAUUUUCUCUCUGGCACAGCGUCGAAUCGACGUGCUUCACCUCGUGGCUAUUUCAUCGUCGUCGUACUGUCCUUGGAAGAGGAAGUGUCCUGCAGAAUUCGGCAUUGUUACACAAUGUCUAGCUCCAACAAGAGCCAAUUAUAAUUACCUAAACAAUGUACUUUUGAAGAUAAAUGCUAAGUUUGUUGGGUUGAACACAUUGCUGCAAAUUGAAGUAUCACGUGCAAUCCCUAUUGUGUCAGAGGCGUCUACUAUCAUCUUAGGCAUGGAUGUGUCACACGGUCAACCUGGGCAGUAUCAUAGACCUUCCAGUGUUGUGUUAAGAGUGAUAAAGUUUUUCUCUCUGAAUAGUAGCCCACAUGUCACCUGAAUGACCAUAAAUUUAUAAGUGUUGUUAUAGCUCUACUUGUAACUAUGGUUUUGGAUUCUGUUUAGGUGGUUAGAUCUCGUGAGUGGCCUCUCAUCUCUAUAUAUAGAGCAACAGUACACACUCAGUCAACCAAACGGUACUGACGAUGAUGGUAUGGUAUCAUUAGGGAAUCACUAAUCAACUUCUACACUACUUAUGGGCACGCUGCUUCGUCAAUCUUGCCUGCCCAUGUCAUGCGGGUUGCCGGAGGCGGCUUCUGCAAGGCAGUGAGGUUGGGCCGGCAGCCAGUACACAGCGUGCCGGAGAGGCUGCCCCCUGUGACCAUGAGUUCUUCUUCACAUUCGUAUGUGGCCUCCCGAUUCGGCUGUCACCGCCUCAGCUCUCUCCUUGCACUAUUACCCUCGCCGGCGCGAGGGUGCAGGCCAUCAGGACGUGACGCUGGUGACGUGAGCCCCCGAGGGGAGAACGCACCAGCAGGCUCCUGGUGGCCGCGUCCUUCAACACCGCCAUAUUCAUGUCGCUGGUGGCCGCGGGAUCUGGUGGCCGGUGGGGGUGGGUAGGCAUUCUGAGCGGUUAUGUCUCCUGCUCUCUGAUGGCGUCAACACGCAGCAGUGUAUGACUGACACACCAUCCAGGCAUGCAGGAAGGAUGAGAUGAUGGCGGCGUCCUUCACCGAUGCCAAGGUCAUGUGUGUCCUCCUCUGUGGCUGGCGCAACAUCAGGGUUUCGUCUUCGGGGUCUCCUCCGACGUUCUUUCCGGGAGCAAGGCAGUGUUGACCCCCGCCCUGCAGCUGACAACUCGAGUGUAAAGGCCAUCAGGUGCAAGACCACCGGAACUGGAAGGAUAGGUACAUGCAGCCACAUGCCUCUUAGGUUCUAGACAGAGAAUCUCAACUCAGGGGCUGAGGCUCCCCCCCCC